GCAGAGCGCAAGUCAGCAUCCAGAAAAUGAUCCACUGCUGUCUACUGGAUUUUGCUGUUCUUUGAGACCUCACUGGACCUUGGCUAGUUCAUCAAGAGUAUCCUUCAUUGCUUGGAAGCAGAGGAUCUUAGCUCUUUGAAAGUCCAUAAAUACAGAAAAACAAACUUCAGCAUUCCUUGUGGAAGCAGUGAAGACUCAUGAACAUUACAAUGGAAAAAUGAGAACAGACAGAAAUUAGUUAAUCCUGGGCCUCAGGAGAAAUCAUAGCAAAAGGUUUCUGCUUCUGAGACAGCUUAGUUCCCAGCAGAGACCUGCAGCACUUUCUCGUGCCUGAGGAAGACAUGGCUGGAAUCAGAGGUAGCAGUAUCUCACGGGUCUUGAGUGGAGAAGGCCAAACCUGAGGCUUCCUUAGCAGCUCCUUGUAUAUGCUUCUUCUGGAGCUGCUCACAGGGUGCUGAGGAAGAGAUCUGCCAGAAAAUCAUAGAAUGUUCUCAUUAACUUGUUUCAGUGCACUUUUUAUCACCAAAGAUAAAAAAGAAAACAAUGAGCCCUGAACAUACUGGACAUCAGCUCUGAAAAAAGGACCAUGAGAAGCAUUCUGUAGCUUGACUGUUGCCAGUUCCUUAGCUGGGUCUGGGCUAUACCCACAACGGAUCACCUUGCUUGAAGAAGUUUUCAUGGAAAGACCAGCCAAUACGCACCAAUGUUUGCAGGGUAAAAAUACAACUUUCAUAAACCAUUCAACUCAAUGAAUGAAGAAAAAGAAAAAGCCAAAGAUAUCAUGCUUGGACAUUUGGAACAUACAAAGAUAGGCACACUUAUGCUCAAAAGCUUGUAUAUAUACAGCUGAUGCCCAAACCUCUGUAAAUUCAGCUUAGAGACAGUUACGGAGACCCGCUCUUGCGAUGAAUCUCUGCAAGCUGAUGUGAUAGUGAGGAUCCAGUGAGUUACUGCACUUGGUGGCCCUCCACUGAUUUUAUUUCUCAGUAAUGGGCACUGCCCAUAGAAUCAACCUCACCCUUAACGAUUGCAGUAGCCUCUGGAGAACAAUAAUUUUUUUCACUGUCGCAGUGUUAGGAUCCAUUGCAAUCCAAGUCUGUUUCAUGACUUAUAAUAUUUGCUCUAAUAUUGUUUAGAUUGGUGCAUCCGUAAGAAGCUUCGAAUCUGCUUAUUCUUCGUCCAUAAGCCACAUUAUUUAAGAAAUUCACCUUUCUCCUUCCUAGAUUGUGCUGCAUGUGUUGCCCACACGGUGCUCUGCUGUUGCCUUGCUUCUGGGACCCUGACCCCACGUGCUCCUCUGCCAAAGAUCUGUCCCAGUAUGAGCUCCCUUGUGUGUCAUUUUGGUUUUCCUCUUUAUUUUCUUACUUUGUUACGUACCAGAUAAUUACUGGUCAGGUGAUUUCUUAUGUUGCUUUCUGGUUGAGUAUCUGGGGAUGAAAGAAGGUCAAUCUGUGUAUAUGUUUUAUAUUCUGGAAUUUCACUUUUGGAUGCAGGGUAAAGCUAGAAUCUCUGGGGCAUCUUUUUUAAAUCCCUUGGUUUGAUUCUGGGUCAAUAAUUUAUACUGACCUCAACUGUUAUUUAGAUUUGAAUGUAUCCGAAUGUGGCAUGAACAUGGCAUUUCUUUUAAGUUUUAAUAUUAUGCAAACAAGUCGAAAUAAGUUUUUAUUGUAAAACUUGAAACACAGAUCUAAGAUGACUUUGAAACUGAACCCCAAGCUAAACAGAAUCCAGAUAGCUGUGCCAAUAUAUUUUUAUAUUUUAUCAAAUAAAAUAUCUUGACAUGC
rnacentral:lncRNA from 7 species